rnacentral:misc_RNA from 1 species
GAAAUGCGAUAAGUAGUGUGAAUUGCAGAAUUCAGUGAAUCAUCGAAUCUUUGAACGCACAUUGCGCCCUUUGGUAUUCCAAAGGGCAUGCCUGUUCGAGCGUCAUUUGUACCCUCAAGCUUUGCUUGGUGUUGGGCGUCUUGUCUCUCUCCCGAGACUCGCCUUAAAAUCAUUGGCAGCCGGCCUACUGGUUUCGGAGCGCAGCACAUUAUUUGCGCUCUUGUCCAGCCGCGGUCGCGCGUCCAUGAAGCUUCUUUCAACCUUUUGACCUCGGAUCAGGUAGGGAUACCCGCUGAACUUAA